UUAGAGACCCAUUUAUUCCGACGCAAACUCUGCUUUGGCGGCUGCUUGAGGACUACGAGUGCUUAAAACUCAAAGAACUUGGCGGCUUGCUAACUUCCCAGGGGAAUAUGCGCCUUAAUCCGAUGAUCCCCGUAGAAUCUUACUGUGCCUUGAAAGAGUGCAGCUGGUGUAUUGCCGUUGUCAGCUUGUUGUUCGAGCAAGAGUAACAGGCUCAAGGGAGCCGUGUCCAUGAAUUCAGGUCGAAAUGCCGCCGAUGGCACAAGGGAGUGGGUAUUACAGUUUAUAAUUUUGAAUUACGGAUCCUUUGAAAUUGAAGGUGAACUUGGAGGUAAGGGGAGAUUAAUAUGCUGCCCUGAACUGAAUCUAGCUCGAGUACAAACUGCCCGUCGCUCUCGCCAGGUGAGAU
rnacentral:rRNA from 1 species